rnacentral:rRNA from 1 species
GAUGAACGCUGGCGGCGUGCCUAAUACAUGCAAGUCGAGCGAAUGGAUUAAGAGCUUGCUCUUAUGAAGUUAGCGGCGGACGGGUGAGUAACACGUGGGUAACCUGCCCAUAAGACUGGGAUAACUCCGGGACACCGGGGCUAAUACCGGAUAACAUUUUGAACCGCAUGGUUCGAAAUUGAAAGGCGGCUGCGGCUGUCACUUAUGGAUGGACCCGCGUCGCAUUAGCUAGUUGGUGAGGUAACGGCUCACCAAGGCAACGAUGCGUAGCCGACCUGAGAGGGUGAUCGGCCACACUGGGACUGAGACACGGCCCAGACUCCUACGGGAGGCAGCAGUAGGGAAUCUUCCGCCAUGGACGAAAGUCUGACGGAGCAACGCCGCGUGAGUGAUGAAGGCUUUCGGGUCGUAAAACUCUGUUGUUAGGGAAGAACAAGUGCUAGUUGAAUAAGCUGGCACCUUGACGGUACCUAACCAGAAAGCCACGGCUAACUACGUGCCAGCAGCCGCCGUAA